rnacentral:rRNA from 1 species
AACGAACGCUGGCGGCAGGCUUAACACAUGCAAGUCGAGCGCAUCCUUCGGGGUGAGCGGCGGACGGGUGAGUAACGCGUGGGAACGUGCCCUCUUCUACGGAAUAGCCUCGGGAAACUGAGAGUAAUGCCGUAUACGCCCGCAAGGGGAAAGAUUUAUCGGAGGAGGAUCGGCCCGCGUUGGAUUAGGUAGUUGGUGGGGUAACGGCCUACCAAGCCGACGAUCCAUAGCUGGUUUGAGAGGAUGAUCAGCCACACUGGGACUGAGACACGGCCCAGACUCCUACGGGAGGCAUCAGUGGGGAAUCUUGGACAAUGGGGGCAACCCUGAUCCAGCCAUGCCGCGUGAUCGAUGAAGGCCUUAGGGUUGUAAAGAUCUUUCAGCUGGGAAGAUAAUGACGGUACCAGCAGAAGAAGCCCCGGCUAACUCCGUG